rnacentral:lncRNA from 1 species
UCCAGCCUAAAAUUUUCAAAUUAAAGUUUAAAAAUCUCUCUCACUCGAGCUCUUAUUUUCCCGCAAAAUUGAUAUAUAAGCAUAUGACCUUUAAUCGAAGCCUCCUUUUUCAUUUUCUUUGGAUUUUUAGUCCAUGACCUUUCUUUCUCCGACGAAGACAGCUUCUCCUUUCAUUCCUCUUUCACCAUCUCCUUUUGUACACCCUUCGUCAAAUCUUUGUUUUAUUUUUCUCAGAUUUGAUGAGUUUUGCUGUGAAAUCUGGAAGCCAUUUUAUGGCGACAGUUGUAGCAACGAAGAUGAUGCUGUGGUGCGAGAUCUGUGAGUGUGUCUUUCUCGAUCAAUCUUGACCUCCAUGAGCGCGUGAAGCGCAUCAGUGUCAUCGUGAAGGACCAAUCUUGCGAAUUUGGUUCUAGGGAGUGGGGAUUUUUUUAGAACUGGGAUCUAUAAAACCACUUCAGAUUUCAAAACCUAGAUCUACAAAAUUGCUUCAGAUCUUCAAAACUACUUCAUGUUGUGCCUCAAAAAUUGGUUAAACAUGUAUUAUCAUGUUGUGUUGUUUAAACUUUUGAUUAUUUUUUUAUUCCAGUAGGUAACCUUCAAUUAAUCAAUUACCGGUUAUUUUUUGGUGCCUCGUUACUUGUCCACCUUUAGCAAACUUCACCGUAGCUUCGUCACUUUUUUUGUUGAAUAUAAAAUAAAAUCUUCGUAUUAAUUUUUCUAUGUACUAGCUAUCAUUGGCAACAGC